CCUACGGGAGGCAGCAGUGAGGAAUAUUGGUCAAUGGGCGCGAGCCUGAACCAGCCAAGUCGCGUGAGGGAUGAAGGUUCUAUGGUUCGUAAACCUCUUUUAUAAGGGAAUAAAGUGCGGGACGCGUCCCGCUUCGCAUGUACCUUAUGAAUAAGGAUCGGCUAACUCCGUGCCAGCAGCCGCGGUAAUACGGAGGAUCCGAGCGUUAUCCGGAUUUAUUGGGUUUAAAGGGUGCGUAGGCGGCCUUUUAAGUCAGCGGUGAAAGUCUGUGGCUCAACCAUAGAAUUGCCGUUGAAACUGGGGGGCUUGAGUAUGUUUGAGGCAGGCGGAAUGCGUGGUGUAGCGGUGAAAUGCUUAGAUAUCACGCAGAACCCCGAUUGCGAAGGCAGCCUGCCAAGCCAUGACUGACGCUGAUGCACGAAAGCGUGGGGAUCAAACAGGAUUAGAUACCCUAGUAGUC
rnacentral:rRNA from 1 species